AGUCGACGAGAACGGGUUAUAGCUUGCUAUAAUUGUCAGCUAAGUGGCGCACGGGUGAGUAAUGUAUAGGUAAUAUGCCUCUUACUAAGGGAUAACAAAUGGAAACGUUUGCUAAUACCUUAUACUCCUUAUUAACAGAAGUUAAUAAGGGAAAGAUUUAUUGGUAAGAGAUUAGCCUGUAUUGUAUCAGUUAGUUGGGUGGGGUAAUGGCUUACCAAGACUAUGACACAUAACUGGGUUGAGAGGAUGAUCAGUCACACUGGAACUGAGACACGGUCCAGACUCCUACGGGAGGCAGCAGUGGGGAAUAUUGCACAAUGGACGAAAGUCUGAUGCAGCAACGCCGCGUGGAGGAUGACACAUUUUGGUGCGUAAACUCCUUUUAUAUGAGAAGAUAAUGACGGUAUUAUAUGAAUAAGCACCGGCUAACUCCGUGCCAGCAGCCGCGGUAAUACGGGGGGUGCAAGCGUUACUCGGAAUCACUGGGCGUAAAGAGCAUGUAGGCGGAUUAAUAAGUUUGAAGUGAAAUCCUAUAGCUUAACUAUAGAACUGCUUUGAAAACUGUUAAUCUAGAACGUGGGAGAGGUAGAUGGAAUUUCUGGUGUAGGGGUAAAAUCCGUAGAGAUCAGAAGGAAUACCGAUUGCGAAGGCGAUCUACUGGAACUUAUUGACGCU
rnacentral:rRNA from 1 species